rnacentral:rRNA from 1 species
AUUGAACGCUGGCGGCAGGCUUAACACAUGCAAGUCGAGCGGGGGAGGUUGCUUCGGUAACUGACCUAGCGGCGGACGGGUGAGUAAUGCUUAGGAAUCUGCCUAUUAGUGGGGGACAACAUUCCGAAAGGGAUGCUAAUACCGCAUACGCCCUACGGGGGAAAGCAGGGGAUCUUCGGACCUUGCGCUAAUAGAUGAGCCUAAGUCGGAUUAGCUAGUUGGUGGGGUAAAGGCCUACCAAGGCGACGAUCUGUAGCGGGUCUGAGAGGAUGAUCCGCCACACUGGGACUGAGACACGGCCCAGACUCCUACGGGAGGCAGCAGUGGGGAAUAUUGGACAAUGGGGGGAACCCUGAUCCAGCCAUGCCGCGUGUGUGAAGAAGGCCUUUUGGUUGUAAAGCACUUUAAGCGAGGAGGAGGCGCUCUAGGAUAAUACCCUAGAUGCGUGGACGUUACUCGCAGAAUAAGCACCGGCUAACUCUGUGCCAGCAGCCGCCGUAAGAC